rnacentral:rRNA from 1 species
UAUGGAAGGGCCAUCGCUCAACGGAUAAAAGGUACUCUGGGGAUAACAGGCUGAUACCGCCCAAGAGUUCAUAUCGACGGCGGUGUUUGGCACCUCGAUGUCGGCUCAUCUCAUCCUGGGGCUGUAGCCGGUCCCAAGGGUAUGGCUGUUCGCCAUUUAAAGAGGUACGUGAGCUGGGUUUAAAACGUCGUGAGACAGUUUGGUCCCUAUCUUCCGUG